rnacentral:lncRNA from 1 species
GAUGCUGGCUCAGCACCUAUUAGAGCAAUUAAAAUGAGAAAUGAUGCAGACUAAACUAGAAUUUCAGGUAAAAAUGGGAAAAAUAGGCGUUAAAAAAUGGUAUAAACGUUAAAAAACUACACUUGACUGAGUUAGAAUAUGGAGGAAAAGGAAGUAUGGAGAUCAAAAGAAAACAUCAGGAUUUGGGAGCUUGGACACAGGGGAAUGACAACGUAAAGGGAUUAUUUCAAAGAUAAUUUGGCAUAGACACUUCUAGACUCUCCUCUUCAUCUGUGUGUGGAUGAACACAAUCCCUACUUGAAAGAAGAUUUGGCUCAUGAAAGAGUAGUUUAAUGAAUAUCAAAACCAAUAUUGUGG